ACCCCUCUCUCUCUCUCUCUCCCUCCGACCUCGCAACCCUACGCGAUCUCCUGAUGGGCAAAGGUCGACCGCGCGCCGUCGAGAAGGGCGUCCUAGGCCACGCCCUGGGCAGCGCCGCCUCCUCAUCCUCCUCCGCCACCGUCGUCCCUCAGGCACCCGUCUUCUACCCCACCGAGGAGGAAUUCGCGGACCCGUUGGCUUUCAUCUUCAAGAUUCGCCCUCUGGCCGAGCCCUUUGGCAUUUGCCGAAUAGUCCCUCCCCGGUCCUGGAACCCCCCCUUCGCCCUCGACCGCGCCGCGUUCACCUUCCCCACCAAGUCCCAGGCCAUCCACCGCCUCCAGGCCCGACCGCCCUCCUGCGACCCCGCCACCUUCCGCCUCGAGUACGGCCGCUUCCUCGAAUCCCACCUGGGCAAGCGAUCCCUCCCGCGGCGGGUCGUCUUCGAGGGCGAUGACCUUGAUCUCUGCCGCCUCUUUAACGCCGUCAAGCGCUACGGCGGCUACGACAUGGUUUGUGCGGAGAAGCGCUGGGCCGACGUUGCCCGCUUCGUCCGACCGGCCAUCAAGAUCUCCGAGUGCGCCAAACACGUCCUCUGCCAGCUCUACCGCGAGCAUCUGUACGACUACGAGGAGUACAACAGCCGAUUGGACCGGGGAACCAAGAAGGGCAAGAGCACCAGGCGGUGCCCAGAUCGGAAUACCUCUGCCCAGACCGAGAUCCCCAAUCGGAAGAGGAGAAGGAAGGGUUUAGGCUGCGAGAGAGCAAAGGAGGUGGUUGAAGAGGUGUUGGAUCAGAUCUGCGAGCAGUGCAAGAGCGGGUUGCAUGGGGAAGUCAUGCUCCUUUGUGAUCGAUGCGAUAAAGGCUGUCACUUGUACUGCUUGUCCCCGCCUCUGGAGAAAAUUCCAUCAGGGAACUGGUAUUGCUUGGAGUGCUUGAAUUCUGAUACGGAUUGCUUUGGUUUUGUGCCUGGGAAGCUGUACUCGGUGAAUGCAUUUAAGCGAAUGGAUGAUCGGAUGAGGAGGAAGUGGUUUGGGCAGACAAAUGCCAGUCGUGUGCAGAUAGAAAAGCGGUUUUGGGAGAUUGUGGAAGGCAGAUCAGGAGAAGUGGAGGUCAUGUAUGGAAGCGAUUUGGAUACAUCGUUGUAUGGAAGUGGAUUCCCUCGUGCAAAUGAUCCAAUUCCAUCAUCGAUAGAUCCAAAUGUCUGGAGACAAUAUGCUUCAAGUCCAUGGAACCUCAAUAACCUGCCAAAGUUGCCGGGGUCAAUGCUUCGUGCAGUCCGUGAGAAUAUUGCUGGUGUCAUGGUUCCUUGGCUCUAUGUGGGAAUGCUUUUUUCAUCCUUUUGUUGGCAUGUUGAGGAUCAUUGUUUUUACUCAAUUAACUACCUGCAUUGGGGAGAACCAAAGUGUUGGUAUGGUGUGCCAGGAUCUGAGGCUAAUGCUUUUGAGCAGGUUAUGCGAACGACUCUUCCAGAUCUAUUUGAGGCACAACCAGAUUUGCUUUUCCAGCUUGUCACAAUGCUUAAUCCCUCUAUUUUGCUGGAAAAGGGUGUUCCAGUUUAUAGUGUUCUGCAGGAGCCUGGAAACUUUGUCAUUACUUUUCCAAGGUCCUUUCAUGGUGGUUUCAAUUUUGGCUUAAAUUGUGCUGAAGCUGUCAAUUUUGCUCCUGCGGACUGGUUGCCUCAUGGUGGAGUUGGAGCAGACUUGUAUCGGUUGUAUCGAAAGGCUGCUGUUUUAUCUCAUGAAGAACUUCUUUGUGUAGCUGUUAAGAGCGACUGUGAUUCCAAAGCUUUGCCUUAUCUGAAGGAAGAAAUGCAGAUGGUAUUUGUUAGAGAAAAGAAGUAUAGGGAGCAGUUGUGGGUUAAUGGUAUUGUCAGAUCUUCUCCAAUGUGCCCAAAGAAACAUCCCAAUUAUGUGGGCUGUGAAGAGGAUCCUGCAUGCGUUAUAUGUCAACAGUAUCUUUAUCUUUCCGCCAUUACAUGCAGCUGCAGACCAUCUACUUUUGUCUGCCUUGAGCAUUGGAGGCAUCUUUGUGAAUGCAAACCCGAAAAGCAUCAUCUCCUUUACCGUCAUACUCUCGCGGAGCUUGGUGAUCUAUUGCAUAUGGUGUCUUCUGUAUCUGAAAUGACAAACAUGGUGGAGACCUUACAAAAUAGACUUUCUCAAGGCCCAGGGUGUAAUUUAUAUCCUAAUAGAUCAAGUGCCAUAACAAAGAAGGUGAAAGGUGGUGAUAUUUCCUAUUCACAACUUGCUGAAGAUUGGCUUUCACAUUCCUGCCACAUUUUGGAGAUUCCAUUUGAAAAUUCUGCUUAUCUUAGUGCUCUAAAGGAAGCUCAACAAUUUCUUUGGGCUGAUCAUGACAUGGAUCCUGUGCGUGAUAUGAAAAUUAAGCUAAUUGAAGCUCAAAGGUGGGCGCUUGAUAUAAAUAGCUGUGUGUCUAAAGUAGAGAGCUUCAUGCAUUGUCCACAGAAGUACAAUGAGAGAGUAUCAUUGGAUGAGUUAGAAAAAUUGCUGAAUUUUCGACCUUUACCAUGUUAUGAGGCUGGUUCCAGCAAAUUGAAGACAUUGGCAGAGGACGCUCAGAAUUUAGUCAUUGAAGUACAAUCUGCUCUUUCAUCUUACUUAAGUAUUGACAAAUUGGAAAUGUUGUACAACAGAACUACUGAAUUUCCUGCUAGUCUUCAGAUAACUGAAAGAUUAUCUUGUGAAAUUGCUUCUGCAAAGAAUUGGUUAAAUAAUGCUCAUUUGUGCCUGAUGGAGAAAAAGCCUGGUUCUAUCGACAUUGAUUUCUUUAACGAGCUAAAAUCAGAGAUGCAAGAGCUUCAUGUUAGCCUUCCAGAAGUGGAUUCAUUUUCAAACAUGUAUAAAGACGUUGAAUCAUGGAAAAUCAGAUGUGAAGAUAUCUUGAAAGGGCCGCUCAGAUUGAAGGAACUUGAAGAUUUCCUUAUAGUUGCAGACAAUCUGAUAGUCAGCAUUCCAGAGAUAGAUCUCCUAAGGAAAUACAGAUCUGAUGCUUGUUCCUGGGCUUGCCAUCUUCAAGAUGUUUUGCAAAAUCUUAAUGAGCGAAACGACUAUGGGAACAUUGUUAUAGAACUUUCUCACAUCUUGAAAGCUGGAGAGUUGUUGAGAGUGCAGGUUGACGAGUUGCCUCUUGUAAAAGCUGAACUAAAAAAGUCAAUAUGUAGAGAGAACGCUUUAAAGGCACUUGCUACUCCUAUGCCUUUGGGUUUCAUUCAGCAAGUGUUGAAUGAAGCUUCUCAGUUGGAAAUUGAGAAUGAACAAUUAUUUAUAGAUAUUUCUGAAGUUCUCAGAAGAGCUGUUUCUUGGGAAGAAAGAGCCAAAUCUGCUCUAGAACAUGUAGCACACAUCUCUGAUUUUCAGAACAUUAUAAGGGACUCAGAGGGGAUAUUAGUUGGUCUUCCCUCUCUUGCUAAUGUCCAGGAUGCAAUGUCAGUGGCUCAGUUAUGGAUAAGUAGGUCUCAGCCGUAUUUGGAACAAACUAUGAACAGGAAUCCAUCAGAUCAUUUGCUUAAACUUGAUGAGUUGAAGGAGUUGGUUUCCCAGUCUGAACUUUUAAAAGUCACUGUAGAUGCUUCGGAAAAGCUUCAGAGCAUUCUGAAGGAAGUUGAACGAUGGGUGCAAUAUGCUUAUUCUUUAUUGGAACAUGCAAAAUCCUUAUUUAAUAUACAUCAUGCAGAUCUCAUAGUUGGCCAUAACUUUUUGACAAAGAUCGUAGAACUACUCAGCAAAGUUGAUUCUGCUAUAGAAGACGGGCAGUCCUUGUGUUUUCAUUUUAAAGAGUUGCCUGAACUGCGAAAUGCAUCUUCAUCUUUGCAGUGGUGCUCGACAGCACUCUCUUUCUGCUACAAGGUUCCGCUACUAAAGGAGGUUGAAAGAUUGCUUGAAGAUGCAGAUUGUCUUCCCAUCAUUUUUGCAGAUAGUUAUCUCGCUGAAGUGUUGAUUGUGGGAGUCAAUUGUCUUAGGAAAGCACUUUCUAUACUUCCAGAACCUCAUAAUUUUAAAAGGUGCAAGUUGAAAGAUGUUGAAACAAUUUUAGAUGAAAUUCAGAAAUAUAUAGUUCCUUAUCCGUUGAUUGUUUCUCAGAUUCAAAGUGCCAUCCAGAAACAUAAAUCCUGGUUGAAGCAAGUUAAUGCUUGUUUUCAACUGCCUAGUGAACAGCUUUGGCCUUCUUUGUUGGAGCUUAAGGAACAUGGAGAAGCUGUUGCCUUUGAGUGUUCUGAGUUUUAUAGAGUAGCUUCUGAAGUAGGAAAGAUUGAGAAUUGGAUGUCUGAGUGCCAUGUUCUUUUGGACCCAGUAGUUGGUGAUCUUGAUUCCUUGUCAGCUGGGCUAGUGCAAAUCAAAGGUUCACUUGACAAGGCUUUGUGUGUCUAUCGUGGUUCCAAAGGACGAAGAGCCAGAGAAUUCUCUGUUUGCUGCCCCAAUUAUGCAGGGAAUGAAGAAGUAUAUACUUGUCUCGUAUGUGAUGAUCGGUUCCAUUACUCAUGUGUGGGACCACCACUUGCUAAUGCUGGGAUGACUAGUGAGUAUUCUUGUCCUUUUUGCCUGUGUGUGGAAAGUGGAUCUCUACCAAGAAAUGGAAACCAAACAUUGAUAUCUAGAGGAAACUGCCCGGAAAUUAAAUCAUUCUGCGAACUUUUAUAUGCUGCAAAGGAUUUCCAUGCAAGGUUCAAAGAAUUGAAUUUGGUAGAAGAAAUUGUUAAACAAGCACUGGAGUGCAAGUUUAAUUUAACUGAAAUAGUGCAUCAUACUACUUACCAUGGCAAUGACCUCAGCUCUAUCUCAGAGAGUUUUCUGAAUGCCUUGAAGGCAAUAGCAGUUGCUGGGAUAUAUGAUCAUGAAGAUUGCUGCAACCUUGAGUUGGCAUUGUCUAAAAAUUCAUGGAAAGUCAGAGUCAAAAAGCUUUUGAGGGGAUCAAAGAAGCCUGUCCUCCAACAAAUUCAGCGUCUUAUUAAAGAGGGUAUAGCUAUGGGCAUAGCAUCUGAAGAUCAUUUUAUGAGGGAAAUUGCAGAAGUUCGGCAGAUAAGCUUGCGAUGGGCAGAUGUUGCCAAAAAGGUUAUAUCAGAUUCAGGGGACCUUGCACUAAGCGAGGUCUAUAAGCUUAUAAGUGAAGGUGAAAAUUUACCUCUUAACUUGGAGAAGGAGUUGAAGUCUUUAAGAGCUCGAAGUUUACUUUAUUGCAUCUGUCGGAAGCCUUAUGAUCAGAGAGCAAUGAUUGCUUGUGACCAAUGUGAUGAAUGGUACCAUUUUGAUUGCAUUGACUUGCAUGAACCACCUCAAAAGACCUUCUAUUGUCCGGCAUGUCGGCCAUCUCUUGAGGAGUUUAUAUCUCUUCCACAAGCGAUGCGCAAUGAAGAGAGAUCAAGCAAUGUAGGUGGACCUGAUACACCCCCAGUCUGCCAGAGAGAAUCAAAACGGAGAGGUUCAAUAAGUUUUGGAUCUAAUUUGCAUCAGAAAUUGCAGGAUGCAGUUGAUUUACUGGAAGUUUUAAGAUUUAGUGACAUUGAUCAAUUAUGGAGAGAAAACAAAAGGCCUCUUCACAGAACAGCCAAAAGACGUAGUCUACACUGCCGGUGAGAUCUCAUCCGUGAGUAAGACAAUGCUAGAGAUGAAGCUGUCUUCUUAAUUUUCUUGUAAUCAGUUAUUCAAUAGUUCAUAAGCACUUAAUCCUUCCUCAUUCAUUCGUUUGGAGAUUUCCUUAAAAUUUUGCCUGUUGGAACUAUUUCUUCUGAGCUUAUUGUUUGAUUAUAUCUCAUUUUGCUCUCUCUAUGAAUCCUGAGCUUGUGAACUUGCAUCUUCAUUGGAAACCUUUUGCUGUGACCUUUGAUUAAUUUCUAACAUGUUAUAUGUGUAACUCUUCAGGGAAUUGCUUGUUCCCUGACUGAAGAACUUGCUUGUUCCCUGACACAUCAUGGGGUCACAGCUAUUUGCCAAAUUGUGUUUUGGUGCUAGUGUAGCUCAUACCCAACAUGUAAAGAUUGCCUGUUGUGACAAGGAUUUAAUACCAGUCCCAUACUAGUUUUGGUAAGCUACCUGACCGAUAUGGUACCAGAGUAUCAACCUGUACCAUUUGGUCUUAUUGGAUAAAAUAAUAAAAAAUAGUAGCGAAUGGUAUUAUACCAGUAAAUAAGGUAUAUACUAUAUACCAAUUGGUAAGGUUGAGAUUUGAAACCUUGGUUCCGUUCCACUCUUGUAACCAUUCAUGUUUAGUAGCUUAAUUUUGUUUUGGAAUGUUCUUACGCAACAUGAUAGAUAUCCCUGAUUGUGAUGCCUAAUUGUCACUUCUGAGUCUGUAACUGUCCAUGUAUGCCUCAGUCAGACUUGCUUUGGCUUCGUGAUAACUCUUGUAUCCUCAACAAGGCAGUUAUAUGCUAGUUGAUGGUGAUUGGCCAUGAUUAAAACUGUUUUAUUUGGUUUCAUUCUUAAACUUUGGCAUCCUAGCUGCUUUCAUAUCUUGCUGAUUCGUCUAUAAGGGCAAAGUGCUAACCACUCAAUAAAGUUGAUUUGUUAUGGUUUAGAGAAUAAUGUCAAUUUGUAUAUUUUUUUCUAUAUUAUCAGCAUGCUAAUAGCUUUACCAUGAAAUUUAGUAAUAUUUUAUAUUUUCUUAAUUGUUAUUUAGCAAAUUUAUGUAUUUUCUUGAGGCUCUUGCACAGUCCCUUAUCCUACCAUCUGCUUUGCAUUACGAUCAGCAGAAACAUAGACAAACUUUAUGAUUAUAUAUUUCUCAUUCUGAACGGUAACUUUAUAGCCAGGAAAGUCUUGUUCUCUUUAUUAUCUGAUCUAGCUAAUGUCUUUUGCUUUGUCAAGGAUGGAAGGUUUCAGUAUUUGAUGAGUUGGUGUUCCAGCUCUUGUAGUUGUUGAGAUGGUCACAAUAAAAGAUCUGAUUUUUCUUAGUUUGACUAGUGAUAUUGACCUAAUCAGAGCUUGAUGAUGGGAAAAUGUCCCUCUAGCUGACCCCAAACAGUUGGGAUUUUGUGGCCGCUUUUUGUUUCAAACUUCCUUUGUUCCAGUGAUCUAUGAUCAGACUGGUGUGUCUCAGACCAAAGUAAAACUUUAAUCAUCAACUUGGGGGUAACAAUUGCCAGACUCUUGCGCUUGUGAGUACUUGUUCUUGGCAAAUAUGCACUGAAUGCUUUAAAGAUGCGACCAAAAACACAGAUGGUCCACAGCUUGGCGAUGAUAGCCAUUAGCCUGUGCAUGAUCAUGAUCCCGUUGAAGUGGGCCUCGGCAUUUGCUACUGUUGCACAGGUCCAUAAAGUCAUGCUGUUGUUCUAUGAGAUGAAAAGGGUUCACAUGGAGACAUUCUUAAAGAACUGUUCAACAUCCAUGGUUGUAAGAAAGUGAUGGGGAUUAAUGGCAGUCUAUGAGGAGUCCUUUGUGUUGCGGUGCAAGUGGAAGGGUCGGGUCCACAUGAACCAGGCCAAGGGAGCACGGUGACAUCGGAUUGAUGUGAGCUGGUGGGGCCGGCCUGCUCUAUCUCUGGCCUGUGGAAUGUUGCAGGCCGCUAGUUGGUGCCUUUUGCUGCUGACAUUUCACAUGACCAUGUCUACUGGGAAGAUUGCGACUCCCAAGUACAUAUUUUUCCACAUGAUAUGUGAGAUGUCUUGGUUCCGUGGGAAAGCACUUGAACCAAAUGAAUUAUUUGGUUGAUACUAAUGUCCUAAAGUUUUUUUUUUUUUUUUCUUUUACUUUGAGCAUAGCCUUCUCUAGGGUAUUUACCUUGUAUGUUUUUGUGACCAUAUUAUUGUUGCUUGAUCCAGAGGCAAUGUGUCUCACAUUUAGCAUCCAAGUCUUUGUCUUGGAUGUAUGAGAUGUAUGUGUAUCUUACCCACUUUUCGAUACGAUUCAUAGAGUUUAAAAUCUUUCUCAAUAAAAAAUUAUUGGCAAUAGCUCCUUUGCUUCUUCA